AACGCACGAGACCUGCGGACCUGCGGAAGGAUCAUUACAGAGUUUUCUAAACUCCCAAACCCAUGUGAACUUACCAUUGUUGCCUCGGCGGAGCCUACCCUGUAGCUACCCUAUAAGGUGGUUACCCUGUAGCGCCCCGCCGGUGGAUUUUCAAACUCUUGUUAUUUAUAGUAAUCUGAGAGUCUUAUUUUAAAUAAGUCAAAACUUUCAGCAAUGGAUCUCUAGAUCGGAAGAGCACAC
rnacentral:misc_RNA from 1 species